UACGAAGGGGGCUAGCGUUGCUCGGAAUCACUGGGCGUAAAGGGUGCGUAGGCGGGCCUUUAAGUCAGGGGUGAAAUCCCGGAGCUCAACUCCAGAACUGCCUUUGAUACUGAAGAUCUUGAGUUCGGGAGAGGUGAGUGGAACUGCGAGUGUAGAGGUGAAAUUCGUAGAUAUUCGCAAGAACACCAGUGGCGAAGGCGGCUCACUGGCCCGAUACUGACGCUGAGGCACGAAAGCGUGGGGAGCAAACAGG
rnacentral:rRNA from 1 species